rnacentral:lncRNA from 1 species
UAGGGAUCCAAUCGGAGCUGUAGCUGCUGGCCUACGCCAGAGCUACAGCAAUGCCAGACCCAAGCCGCAUCUGCAACCUACACCACAGCUCACAGCAAUGCUGGCUCCUUAACCCACUGAGCAAGGCCAAGGAUUGAACCCAUGUCCUCAUGGAUGCUAGUCAGCUUCGUUGACCACUGAACUCCCCUGCCAAUGGACAUUUAAGUUGUUUCCAUGUCUUGGCUAUUGUUAGAAUCAGGUUUUGAUUUUUAGUUUGUUUUGGCUGUGCCCGUGGCAUGUGGAAGUUCCCUGGGCCAGGGAUGGAACCCAAGCCACAGCAAGUACAUCACUGGAUCCUUAACCACCAGAUGACCUGGGAACUCCUAGAACUAGUUUUUUAAUCUAAUAUGCCAUGUAUCACAUUUGCUUUUAUUUGCUGCAUUUAUGCUGUGUACUGCUUUUUUCUUGUCUUGUUAUUUUGAUGCACGAUUGGACUAAAUGCAGGAAGAAAGUGAACAUGUGCGAACCAACAGUCUUUUACUUACACAGUGCAACAUGAGGCAGGGAAAUCUCAGGUCCUUUUGAAGGAAAUGACUGGUUUUUUGGUUUGACGUCUGCAGCGCAGUUUCAGCAUGUCAUUUCCUGCCAACCAAUAUAGCACAGACGGGAGGGAGCUAACUCGUCUCAGACAAAUCACCUGCCUAUAUUUCAGGUGAAUAUCCUUGUAUCCUAUCCUGCAGGGGUUUUGAGACAAUAAUCUUUUUUUAAUUAUAGUUGAUGUACCUUCCUUCCUUCCCUCUUUCCUUCUCCCCUCCCCACACUCUAUCAUUUCUUAGAAAGACAAAACUACUGUCUCCCAUCAUUUUCUCCAAGUGGAAGAAAAAAAAAAAAAAAGCAGGUGGCCAUCAAGAACCCCCAAAGAAUGAUAACCUCAAGAUAAAAAUGCAUUUAUGAUACAAAUGGUAUUCAUAUAAUCGUGGUGGGUGGUUACUUUUAUCCAUCACCAGGCUAGCCCACGGUACCCUGAUAUUUGGUCCAACAGCAGUCUAAAGGUCUCUGUAAAGGUAUUUUUUAGAUGAGAUGAACAUUGAAGUUAAACAGACUGCCCGCCACAGUGUGGGUGGGCCGCACCCAAUCAGUUGAAGGUCACAAGUGCAAAGACUAAGCAUGACCCUGCAGAAGAGAGACUUCUACCUCCAGACAUUGGAGUCAAGCUGCAACACCAAUUUUGACCAGGCUUUGCAGCCUACUGGUCUACCCUGGAGAUUUCUGACUUGACAGCUCUCAUAAUCACAUGGGCUAAUUCCUUAAAAAUCUCUCUGUGUCUGUCUGGCUCUUUGCUUCACUCUCUGUCUCUCUCUCUGCAUCCCUCCCCCCCCCCACACAUUAUUAUACCUUUUCAUUUCAUUAUCUCUAGAGACCCCUAAUACAACAAUCCAUGUAUUAUUCUCCUUUUCCCAUAUUCCUCAAAGCAUUUGGCACCAUGUUUCAGAUUUUCCUGGGCCGUUUCGCAUUAUAAAGGUUUUGUGUGGCCCAUGAAACUCUGGAGUCCAACUCUAGUAGGGAGAAUGCCUCCUAAUGAUCACAUUUGACAAGAGAAGGAUUAGUGUAGGGUUUCAAAAAUGAACUGUGCACACUUCACUGGAGAAACUGUUUAGCCGUGUUCUUGCGCAUUCCUGAAUCUUAAUGACACUGCUAAUUCAAUGAGACAUUAAGGUUUUCUAUUCAUGUUGCCGUGAAGCCAUUGUUUAAGCUGCAUCUGCUCCGUCCACCCGCUUUUAAAGAUGGAAAUGAAGACAAAUGGGCCGUUCUGCAUCAGAGUUCUUAUGCUGGUAGGAGGUGUGGACCUGAUGGAUGUCAGGCAGACCAUCUACCUGCUCACUUCCCGUAGAUGCACAGUGCACAGGAAAAGACACCUUUCUGAGGCCAACUUGGCCCUUGGUGACCUUGUGGAAUAAGGGAGUUGGUUGUGGCACUUUCCUCUGUUUUCCCAUGGUUCUGCAGAUGCCACAGGUGUGAGCCUCUUUCUCAUUCCUAGUUAAAUCACGUGGCAUUUCUGCAAAUCUCUGACCUCGGCCGUGAGGGAGAAUCCAUCCCCAAAGAAAACAGACUUGGGCUGUAAGAGACCCUGGGCAAAGUCUUUCAUCCUAGGCGCUAAAAUGAUGGACGAUGGGAGCAAAGGAGGGUAGGCUGUCCUCGUGUGCCUUUAAGAUCCCGCACAAUUAAAAGGACCCGAGGGAAGAGUUGGGGUUCAGGCCCCAGGACACUCCAUCUGUCUUCUCUAAGAAGACAGGCUCCUUGGCCACCAUCACCCAUGACAUUGGACUAGGCUCCUUGGAUCUUUUCUAGAUACUUGUACAAACCUACCCUCCUCUCUCCUUAAUAUAAAGAACCAUCUCCCUUAUUCCAUGAAAGACAGCCUUGAGUGGGGACGGGGAGACCCACCUGUUGGGAAGAUUGCUGGUGGGCCCCACCCUGAGUUUGACCUCGACCUGUGGCCAGGUCAUCUUCCUGUACAUGACCUGUGCAUCCAGGCUAUGACACGCUAAGCCUUGGGGAGAAAAAUAAAGCCACACCGAAGUACUUCCCUUGGAUCAGCUCAGUUCGGGUGGGCGUGGCCUAAAUCACCUCCCCCAACACACACACACACACAGAGCUUUUCACUUUCUAAGGGAACGUCCAAGGUAGACAGAUUUUCACUGAUUUUUCUUGGCCCUUGUUUCUGAGACACUGCUUGUGCCACAUGCAUGGAGAUGUCACCCAGUGUGACGUAAGGGAAGGUAUUCACGAUUUUACCUCCAGGAAAGAAAAAAACACACAAGACAAUCACACGCGUAUAACAUCUUCACCUGAAGCACUGGGUUAAUGUUAACUCCUUUUGAAAUGAGAUGGAGUACGGGAGAUUGCAUUCCCUAAAAAUAAAUCCGGCAUUUAGUUCCACUUCAUUUCAGUUAGAAUAUAGUUAGUUAUGAGUUGAGAAACUGUGUGACAUAAAUAUGCCUAUUUCUGACCUCAACCUCAGCAGACAAUGCCUAACACCUAAGUGCCCCGAAUCAGCAGUUCUGUCCUUGCGAUCUAGAACGACACACAUCAGAAAGUAGGAAAGAGCGUUGCCACAGGGGUGGGGCCUGGGGGGGACAGGGUACCAGAUUUGCGUUCUAAGCCUGAUGUGCUACAAUCCAAAAAAAAUUUUUUUUUUGUCUUUUUGAGGGUUGCACUUGUGGCAUAUAGAGAUUCCCAGGCUAGGGGUCUAAUCAGAGCUGUAGUUGCUGGCCUACACCACAGCUCACAGCAACAACGGAUCCUUAACCCACGGAGCGAGGCCAGGGAUCGAACCUGCAACCUCAUGGAUCCUAGUCAGAUAAACCAUCACAGAAAAGAAUAUGAACAAGAAUAUAUAUAAGUGUAAGUGAAUCACUUUGCUGUACAGCCGCAGAAAUUCAUACAACAUUGUACAUUCACCAUCCUUCACGAAAAUAAAAAGAAUAAAAGAAAAAACAAAGCAAAUCAGUACAGAAACAGUCUCAACUCCCAAUUCAAUAAAAUGAGACAUAACCCAUCUAAAGGCCCUUUGCCGGGAAAUAUUAACGUUUUCUCCUAAGCAACAUUUGGAUCCAAGAAGGACUCAAAACGCCAGCGUGGAAUAUCCAGAGCUACGAAACACAGGACAUCAGAGCAAACACUGCUCAGAAGAGAACGCAGAGCCUCACAUUUUUACGGCAAAAAACAAGAAGCAAUGAAAAUCACUGACGUCAGUUUCUCUCCCAUUCUGGUAGCAAUUUCAUUGCUCGCGUUUCGGUCCCAGCAGCAAACAAUUCUCCACACCAGCUGGGGGUCCUGCCACCAGACUCACCUUCAACACUCUCCACCUGGAGGGACCUUAAGGGCUCAGCGCCAACCCCGCCUCCCCAAUCACAGGUCCAGGUUGUCACCUGUGCUUCUGUUCCAGGGGCUUUGGGUGGGAGCCUCUCAUUAACGUGCCAACAUGGCUCACAGAGAAACACCAUACCUGCGGGGUUACAGGUUUAUUACAAAAGGAGAUGAUGACGCAGGAGCAGCCAGAUGGAGGAGUGGCACAGGGCACUGCCUGGGCUGUUAAAGACCAGACACCAGGCCCCACAUGGCAUCCUUUACCCCAAGCCCCCUUUCACCAAACUUAGACUCAACUGCAGUCUCGGCGCUUCCAGAAACAGCCUUAAACCAGACCAUCAGGAACUGCCUGCGCUUGAGGAAUGAGCGCCCCCCCCCACCCCUCCCCUACAGGACAGCGGCAUUGCCAUAACAUCUAGGUACCUCCUGCCUGCAAAAGCCCUUCCUUGCGCUCAGCUCCCAGAAGCUCCUUUCCACGCGCUAACCAGGUGCUGCCCCUUUCAGGAAUCAAAAAUAAAGCCAAUAGAGCAUGGACAUGCACUCAGCUGAAUUCUGUUGUUUUUCGCUAACGGGGGUGGGGGGAAACGCACCGGCCCUUCAACGCCGUCUCCAAGCGCACCUCGCUCCCCCGCCCUCCACGCAGUCCCCGGGUGGGUACCCUCCCCUUGCGGGCUUAGGGGAGGCAUCCUCACGUGCGCGCAGGUGAUGCCGACAAAACCACUGGUGAUGAACUCCUAGUCCAUCUCCACAUCCAGCCCCUCCUCCGCCUGCACGCAGUGGAGCGGGGAACCCCCCACCCCACAUCCACGCGGUCGCCCCGGGGGAGCCCUCCCCGGGUGGGCUUAGUGGAGGUGUCAUCACUCAAGCACAGGUGAUGCAGCCAAGGUCACUGGUAAUGACCGCCCCUCCCCCCGCCCUGUCUCCAUCUCCACGCCCCGCCCCUCCUCCUUCCCCUGCACGUGGGUGGGGCGGGGCAACCAAAAUAGUUCCCCUGUUUAAUUCCCCCCUGGGCAGCUCCCUGCCUGGUGGGAGCAGGGUGCUUUGCGCCUCAGAACAGCAAGCCUCCUUAGCCGGCGCCUCCGUAGGCAGGCGGACAGACCAGGUUCGUGUCUCUUGGGAGGGAUCCCCUGCUCUCGGCCCCACCAGGUAUAGUCAAAGAACAAAGACAUCCUGCCGGUGGGCAGGGCUUACCUUGCCCUCCCCCGGGGCUGAGCGCGGGCCUCUCCAGUGCCUCUGUGCUGGCAGCCGCCUUGCAGGGCCCCAGGGAUCCUGCUCGGCGUCCCUCUCGGUCUGAGUGGGGCCACCUCGUGUGACACUGGUGGCUCUGUGGGCCUACUUGCCCUGAGGCCCCAGCCUGCCAUGUCCUAGGACACCCCGCAGUCCCACGGGGGUUGAGGCUCUCUGCGGUGACAAGCUGUCCCUACUGGCCACGCACAGAAACUGGCGGGGCGGCGAGUGGCCAUUGUGACAGUGGCAGGCCAGCUUAGGCCACCUCUUCCUGCAGCUUCAGGGAGGAUGGCCAGGUGUCCAGCGUUCACAGCGUUUCUGCUUUGGCAUCUGCGUCUGGGAGCCAUGGCUCAGGGAGCCUCCGGUGCAGAGACUGAGCCAGUGCGGGUUCUCCAGCUCAGAAGGACCCGGUUCGGCGCUUCAUCGGGACGCAGGUGAGUCCAAUGGGCGUCUG